CCACAAACAGAAUUAACAGCAGAGAGAGACAAAGCAAUGGGAAAUAAACUAACUUCUCUUAAUCUUUUUUUUUUUUAGAAAGUUUUAUUAAUAGAAAUCGUAGAGGAACAAAGGAGAACAGUAGAAAAACUUCAGAGCAGGCAAAGGGAGGAUUAAGGGACGAUAGAUUGCAGACUUGGUUUUGAUUUGCAUUGCUGUUCCAGAGUACAAAAAUACCUUCAAAGGCCUAAUAGAAGAGAAAAAGAAGAUAUACCAGCUAAAGCUUCUAUUCUGGAAGACCUAUUCCUCCUUGACACAUUAUUUUCUACAAGACUUCAUUUAUGUAAUAUUUGGCUUUGUGGACACCUGCUAAGGUUGGAUCAGCUUCUUAUUUGCCUUCAAUAAGUGUCCUUUCUCUUGUUUUUCUGUCCUAUCUUAAAGCCUGUCUUUUUAUAAACAGUCUCUUAUUGAUUUUUUUCCUGACAUUUCCACCUUCUAAGCUUGUACUAUUGCCCCAAGAAUCAUGUUCCUGGCUUACGUGAUUUCUUGAGUGUAGAAUUUUGAACUUGGAAACUAUUGUAUAUACCCUCGUGAUUCAAAUAAAUUCAGAGAAAG
rnacentral:lncRNA from 1 species